ensembl:lncRNA SNAP25-AS1 SNAP25 antisense RNA 1
GGGCUCCCGGAGCCCGGCGGAGGCGCCCAGGCGUGAAUGAUGUCCCUUGGAAUGUUCACUCUGGGGGAAGCCAGCUGCCACGCUGUAAGGACACUCGGGCAGUCCUAUGAAGAGGCCCGUGUGGUGAGAAAGAGAGGCCUCCAGCCAACAGCCAUGUGAGUGGGCCAUUGAGGAAGCAGCCUCAGUGCCUGCAGCCCUGACUGGCAUCCUGAACUACCACCUUAAAUGAGACCCUGAGCCAGAGUCACUACUUCCAAAUUCUUGACCCACAGAAAUUGUGAAAUAAUAUUUGUUGUUUUAAGCCGCCAAGUUUUGGGAGUAAUUUGUUAUAUAGCAAAAGAUAAUUAAUACAUUCACUUCCUAAGAUUAUGGUGAAGAAUUAAGGAUACAGCAUGAAAAGAACUUUGCUAUUAUUUUUAUUAUCUGAUCCAAUUUAUGUUGAAGGGCCUUCAGUACUUUCUUCUUUUACUCUAUCUUGACAUUUGUCUGAAACAUUUUUGUUUGUUUGUUUGUUUGUUUGUUUGUUUUUUAGAGAUGGGGUCUUGCUAUGUUUCCCAGUUGGAGUGCAGUGAUUAUUCACAGACAUGAUCCCACUACUGAUCAGCAUGGGAGUUUUCACCUGCUCCAUUUCCCACCUGGGAGGUCAUCAUAUUGAUGGCGAGCUAAGUGUGGACACCUGAUCAGCAUAGCACAGUACAGCCCAGAACCCCUGGGCUCCAGUGAUCCUCUUACUUCAGCCUCUUGAGUAGCUGGAACUACAGGCCUGCACCACUGCACCCGGCUAGUUUGUUUUUGUUAGAGUUUUGUCUCUAGGAUUUUCCUCAGCUGAGUAUGUGAAGGCUAACUUCUCCUUGUGAAUCUGCAAAUAUCCUUAUUUUACCCUUUAUUUUACCAUGUAUCAUUUACAGGUAAAUGAUAUCUUAGCUGUGUAUUGAAUUUCUGUUUUUUGUUUUUUCUUCAGUACUCUAUAAAUAUUACUCCAGUAUCUUCUAGCUUCUCCCAUUUUCUCCUAGUGAAUGGUUAUUCUGCUCUUAUCUAGCAGGUGAUAAAUCUGUCAACAGAUAGUUUUUCCUUUUUGUUUUAUGUGUAAGUUGUUAUUUCUUCCUUAAAGUUCAUAAUCUUUUCCCAUUUAUUCUCUAAAUUUUAGACUAUAACCAGGAUGUGUUUAGGUUGAUAUCUUUGCUUAUCUAUUCUGCCUGGAAAUCAGGAACCUCUUCCAAUAUUCAGACUUGUGUUUUCAGCUCAGAAUAAUUAUUUUAUCAUUUGUUUGAUUAUUCCUUUAGUUGCACUGGAUCUUAGUUAAAAUGCCCAUUCUGAUUCAAAGUAUCUGGAAGGCAAGUAUUUGUCAACUAAGGGAAAGGUGACCAUGCAUCAUUGGUUUUGCUGAGACUACCUGGUUUACACCUUCAGGCUUUAUACUUAGAAAAUAUUGCGAUCAUCUUCUGGUCAUGAAGUUACAAACUUCAGGACAAAGGCUAACCAGCUAAGACUAGCAGAGCAAAUUCCAAGAACUUGGGGCUUUAAUUAACUUGAAUUGAUUUGGACUUGCCCUACCUUUAACUUCACACUGAGAUAAAAAUUCCCCACAUUUUCAAGCCAUUUUUGAGAUGAGUCUCUUAUGGUUGAAAGCAUCCUAAUUUAUACAACAUCCUUUUGGUACCUAACUAAAUAUUCACCAAUAUUUGGCACAUUUGUUAAAUCUUUUGGUGUGUGCCUCUUCUAUGUAAUGUAAAUAUGGUCUGAAUAUCCAUUCAGAAAUUAUAGUUGAUUUGCAAAAAUAACUACUAUAUCACCUAUAUUAAUUGAUAGUUAUUCCUUCCCAACCUUCUUUCACUCUUCC